GACGAACGCUGGCGGCGUGCUUAACACAUGCAAGUCGAGCGAUGAAGCACCUUCGGGUGUGAAUUAGCGGCGAACGGGUGAGGAACACGUGAGAAAUCUGCCUUCAACUCUGGGAUAACUCCGGGAAACCGGGGCUAAUACCGGAUAUGAGCCUUGAUCGCAUGAUCGGGGCUGGAAAGUUUUUCGGUUGAAGAUGAUCUCGCGGCCUAUCAGCUUGUUGGUGAGGUAAUGGCUCACCAAGGCGACGACGGGUAGCCGGCCUGAGAGGGCGACCGGCCACACUGGGACUGGGACACGGCCAAGACUCCUAAGGGAGGCAGCAGUGGGGAAUAUUGGGCAAUGGAGGAAACUCUGACCCAGCGACGCCGCGUGAGGGAUGAAGGCCUUCGGGUUGUAAACCUCUUUCAGUAGGGAAGAAGCGAAAGUGACGGUACCUACAGAAGAAGCACCGGCUAACUAUGUGCCAGCAGCCGCGGUAA
rnacentral:rRNA from 1 species